ensembl:lncRNA
CCUUGAAAAAGGGCAUGGUGACAGAAAGCCCCUCAACUCCUGAUGUCUGAGAAGUAGAGAAGAAGAGCAGGAAAGGAAGAGGCCAGAGACCAGGAAUCCAUUACAAAGGUUCAUAGCUGAUUUCAGCGCUAUCUGGAGCUCUCAGAACCUCAGCCCCAGGCCCUCUAACAGUGACCUUGUCAUACUUCAGAUGCAUCUCUGUAUGGGCUGCUUUCCAACAGCAUUUAAUGCUCUCUUCCCAGAUGUCAAGCCUACUACUGUGGGGUGAGGAUACUAAUAAGAAAAGACAUCCCGGAGAUCACGGAGAAUAAAAGAGCCUAAUAAAUAAGCAAAGAAACUCAACCAAUGUAUUAUAACUCUAAAUUGCCAACUGAGUUAUACUUGACCCAGCUUUUAACCUGCUUACUUUUCAGGAUUAUAAAAACAGUAAACCAUUGAAAUAUUUUGAUAAGAAGUUUAGCCCACAAAAAUGAAUUAAAUGCCUACUAAGUAUCAGACACUGUCCUAAAAACUGCUGAUGUUUAUUUUAGAUUGUAAUAGAUGGGUAUUUGUAAGGAGAAAUUCACUCACAUUCCUACCUCUUCACUUCCAUUGAAAAGAUAUUUGUCUUAUUCAUUGCUUUGCAGCUUGAGUUCCUAUGACCAGUGACAUAUGAGCAGAAAUCAUGC